GGUCAUCUAUAAAUUCUGGGAUUUCCUGUUUGCCGCUGGGCAGGCUGGCGGGCGGGCAGGCCGCCCUCUCCUCUGCAGCCUGGAAGAAUCGCCUCAGGCCGGCUCCUGAGCCCUGGCCUCCCCUGGCCCAGAUUGGCUCCGAAAUUUCCCAGCUUUUGUGCCCGUAAGCAGGAUCCUGUGACAGCAGAUCUCCCUGAGCUGUGCUCCAGUUUCCACUGGGAUGGUAGGAGGAGUGAGAUCAUGGCCAUUUUUAAAGGAGAGGCUGUCUUCGUGAUCUCCCCGUGAGCUCUGUGCUGCCGGGCUUGUUUUGAGGCACAAAGUAAGAGAAAAGAAUAAAAUGGAAGAGCUCCUGGCAACCAGCAUUCCACUCUCUGCUUCUGCAGGAUCGACGUUUCUGGAUUCCACGUGUGGGGCGUAAUUGGCUGAAGCAAGAUGGUUCCCAGUGAAGCCAAACCUGUUCUGGAAGUGAGUGGAAAGUUUAAGCAAGUCAGAGACCUCAGGGGCCGUUGGGCCAUUUGCCCAGUGACGUCUGGCGGGCGGCUCAGGACGCCGGAGAUUCCUGGAAGACCGCCCCUCCCCACCAGGAACCCCGCCCUCCCCGCGCAGCCCCGUGCCCUGGAACGCAUGUUGUUUUGCUCCUUUGGCAGAGCUUCCUGGAGUCAAGUUAAGAAGAUCCUCUUGCUGCCAGAAGGCUCCUUGCAUGGGUUUGUUGAGCCCCCACUUAGCAGAGGCGUUGAGGCCAUGAGGUGUGUGGUACUCACACUCAUUCAUUCAACAGACCCUUUUGAGCAUCCAGUCUGGGCCAAGUGCUGUGGACACAGGGGUGAGGAGACCGAUGAGGGGACAGUGACUCUCCCAGAGGAAGGACUUGGCUGAGCACACAGCACAGGGUCUGUGGGAGCCCUGAAGAGGGUUUGGCCAGGACAGGCUUCUUGGAGGAGAAAUGCUGUUGAUACCCAGUUUUCUUUACGUUGUAGGUUACAAAACCACAGCUGCAACAGGCUGAAGCCACAAAGAGAAUACAUUGGCUCACAGAAUGGGCAAAUCCAGGAAAGGCUGGCUUCAGGCACUACUGAAUCAAGGGGCUAAAGGGAGAACUCCGCCUCUUGGUGUUGUUGCUGUCUCUGUAUUGGCCUCAUUUCCUCCAGCCAAAGGCAGAAUUUCCCCCGCUUGGUGGAAAAGAUAGGAAUUGGAAGCUCCCAGUUCUUGUUCUUUUCCUGCCACUUGUAUGUUUACUUAAGCCAUAUUUACUGAGUAGUGAACAAGACAAUGUCCUACAGAUUUAUCCUACAGAUAAAUAUGUUUAUGUGCCAAAGACACAUGUACAAGGAUAUUCAUUAUAACAUUGUUUAUACUAACCAAAGACUGGAAACAACUUAAGUGGCCACCAAUAAGGCCUUGGUUAAGUAAAUUAUGCAAUGGGACGCUGGACAGCCCUGCGGAAGAGUUAGCUCGAUCUAUAUCAGUAAUCCACACUCAGGGCAACUUUACGCCCUAGAGGGCAUUCGGCAAUGUCUGGAGACAUUUUUGGUUGUCACGAUUGAGGGGGGAGGGGCAAUACUCAUGGCCUCUAGUGGGUAGAGGCCAGGGAUGCUGCUAAACGCCUUACAAUGCAGAGCACAGGUCCCCACCCAACAAAGAAUUUUGCAGCCUAGGAUGUCAAUAGAGCCAAGAUGGAGGAACCGUGAUCUGCAUCUGCUGAUACAGAAAUCUUUAAGAUAAGUUCAGUUUAAAGAAAAAGCACCGUGGACAAUGAAUACGGUAGACUACCAUUUGUGCAAACAAGGAGCAUCUCUCUGGAUGUGCUUCUCCAUGCAUAGAAUUGUCUCUGGAAGAAUAAAUCAGAGAGUGCCGAGCUGUGCCUCGUGCAGGCCUGGGGGAGAGGUGUGGAAGACAGAUUCAUUUUCACGAUACAGCUUUUUUACCAUUGGAAUAUUUUUAAACUGUAUGCCUGUAUUCUUUAAAAAAUUAAUAUAUAAAAAGUAUGAAAGUUUGACCAGACCUGCACAUAUGCCCCGCCUGGCCCCUUCCUAGCCGCGGCUUCUUCCUCUGAGAUGGUUAGGUUGAGAGCAGCCCACGAAGUCACGGUUGGAACCGAUCUUAGAGAUCAUCAGAUCGUAGGAGCCAUCAAAGAGGUUGUGGAAAUGCUGGAUUAGAUGCAUUUAAAUGGGUCUUUACUGGAGGAGUUUUUAGAGACUAAUGCAAGAGUGUGCACGGUGGAUCUCUGAGGGAUGUGGCAUCCAGAAUUAGCAAAUGUCCUCGACUCCUUCAUUAGCUUCCUAGGGCUACCGUGACAAAGCACCAUGUGCUGGGGGCUUGAAACAGCAGACGCCCAUCGUCUCACGGUUCUAGAGGCCAGGAGCUUGAACUCUAAGCGUCAGCAGGACUAUAUGCGCUCUGAAGUCUCUAGGGAAGAGCGCAUCCUUGCUUCCUCCUGGCUUCUGGAAGUCCGUGGCUUUUAGCUGCACCUCUCUGAUCUCUGCUUCAUCACCGUAAGGUCUUCUGGCUGCACGUCUGUCUUCAUGUGGCCUCUUCUUAUAAGAACACCAGUCAUGUGGGAUGAGGGGCCCACCCUCCUAGACUAUGACCUCAUCUCAACUUAGCUCAUUUCAAUUACUCUA